rnacentral:lncRNA from 1 species
UUGUCUGCUACUAAGGCCAUGAUUCAAAACCAGUUGAAAUAAACAGAUCUCCCAUUGACUGCUAUAGGCUUUGAAGCAAGCUCCAGAACUCCACUUCAUUACCAAGACAUUUGCAGGAAAGAUUCCAUGAGCUCCACUUCCUUUUCAUUGAGAAACUGGAUAACAAAGAAGAGACUCGGGUUCUGCUAGAUAGAUCUUGCCACAGACUUUCAGAGGAAAGAUUUUUAAUUGCUCCUAUGGGAUGUCUAUGAAGAACCAGCAACAGAAGAUGUUUCCAGAGUUAUACAUAAAAACAAAGAGUUAUGAGAGGCAACUUUGACUGACAAGUUUCCUGCCAUCCCCAAUAUUUUAAGAGAAUAGUUAAACCCUUUCUGAUGGAUUCGUAGGAAUAAUAAUCCCAUGAAAAGAAAAUGAGGUAAGCAAAACUUUU